rnacentral:misc_RNA from 1 species
CCGAACUGUCAACAUGAGUUGCUGCUGGUCCCCAAACCGGGGGCAUGUGCACGCUCUGUUUACACAUCCACCCACACCUGUGCACCCUCUGUAGUUCUAUGGCCUGGGUGACUUUGUCCCCUUGCGGUGGUUCUACGUAUUUACACACACACUGCCAUAAAGUCUCAUGGAAUGUUUGUCGCGUUUAACGCAAUACAAUA